AUUGAACGCUGGCGGAAUGCUUUACACAUGCAAGUCGAACGGUAGAGGGGGCAACCCCUCGAGAGUGGCGAACGGGUGAGUAAUAUAUCGGAACGUGCCCAGUCGUGGGGGAUAACGUAGCGAAAGUUACGCUAAUACCGCAUAUGAUCUAAGGAUGAAAGCGGGGGAUCGCAAGACCUCGCGCGAUUGGAGCGGCCGAUAUCAGAUUAGGUAGUUGGUGGGGUAAAGGCUCACCAAGCCAACGAUCUGUAGCUGGUCUGAGAGGACGACCAACCAAACUGGAACUGAGGCACGGUCCAGACUGCUACGGGAGGCAGCAGUGGGGAAUUUUGGACAAUGGACGCGAGGCUGAUCCAGCCAUUCCGCGUGCAGGAUGAAGGCCCUCGGGUUGUAAACUGCUUUUGUGCGGAACGAAAAGGUCUCUCUUAAUACGGGGGACUCAUGACGGUACCGUAAGGGUAAGCACCGGCUAACUACGUGCCAGCCGCCGCAGUAA
rnacentral:rRNA from 1 species